AGACUGACAGUUUCUCUUUGCCCAUUGCAUGGCAGGGAUUUGUUCAUACAGGGGUUGUGUCCCACCUUACUUUGUCUACACAGGCUGGAUCUUUCUCUGGAGGCAGUGUGGGGUGAGCAACAAUUGUCUGUCUAAGGCAAAAGGAUUUACAGCAUCAUUUGUCAUCAUUUAAAGAUAAAUGAAAAGGACACUUUUGCUGAUGAGUCUACAAAGGUAAGUCCUGUUUCUUCCCCUUACUUUCUCCUCAUUACUUUUCUAUGAGGACACAGUAGCAAGAACCAAGGCAGAAGCUGUGCAAAACAAAAAAGACCUUUUCCGAGGUUCCAAAAGGUCAGUUUCCAAGGCAGAGAUGUGGAUGCUGGGGCUCAUUUCACCCAGCCUGAGCUGCACCACCAGGUGACAGCUUUUGGCCAAGAGGAGGAAGUUAAACAAGGAAAGAGUCAGCAAGAGCCUGUUGCUCAAUCAACUGUAUGGGAGAGCCAUGCCCUCCUGUAUGAGAGAGGCUGCACUACCUCAUACAGCACAGAGACCCAGGAGGACUCACCUUUGCCAUGUGCUGGCUUCCUGGAUGAUGGGAGAGGGUUUGGGAUGAGAAAAACAGGAUUAAACCAAGAAAAUUUC